AGGUUGGAGAUAGAGCUGAUUCAAAUCUUUAUGUAAAUGUGAAGCUAAAAGCUGCUGAGGAGAUUGGAAUCAGAGCCAAACAUAUUAAACUACCAAGAACCUCAACUGAGGCAAAGACUGAUUAGUGUCAGUUCUGGAAAGCUUUCUAGGGGUGACCUAGGACAUUGUUUCAUUACCUGUACACCUUAAGGAUGCUUGGAACUUAUCAAAGAGACAGAAUGGAUUUGGAGUCAGGAAGACUGGGGUUUGAUUUUUCCCUCCAACGUACAUGAUGAGACCACAGAUAAAGCAUAGUACAUCAUAUACUUCUAUUUACAAGGCUUUAUAUCCUUUGUAAGACUACUUUGAAAAAAAG